CAGCUCACAAUAUCAUGUACUGUUGGCCUU
rnacentral:piRNA from 1 species